CCCUCAUAGAUUAGCACAAGAGAUGGACCUAGCUCACAAACAAGCCAACCAUGUGUGAGGGUUGCCGGUUCAUUUCUACCUCUUCUAAAUGACUUCUAAGAGAGCAGCUAAAAGUUACUUAAAGUAAAAUGCGGUCAGGUUCAAAUAUUGGUCCUACAUCUGCCCUCUGCAAGGCAAUUAGGCUUUUCACAUGAGCAAAGCAGAAGGGAUAUGCACGUUAAUAAAGCAACAUCAAAGGAAAAC
rnacentral:lncRNA from 1 species